GAUGAGGGAUCAGUGGAGUGUCAGCCAUGUUUGCCGGGUCACUACUGCAGCAAUGAGACCACCAGUGAAGAGGCCAUGCUCAGAGUAAUGGUCUGCCCCCCAGGUUUCCUCUGCUCACAGGGCCUGGAUCGAGAACCCCAGCGCUCAGCGGUAUUCUGCCCAAUUGGCUUUUACUGUCCCGGUGGAAGCAUUGUAAGUAUCAUUUCAAGGCUCAGAAACAUUACGAACAUCGUUGAUCAUUGUGUCAGAUGAUCAAUGGCACGAAACAUAGCAAUUAUUUUCUUUUUUAUUAUUUAUGCCCUACUUAGGAUCCUAAUCCUGUUCCGUGCCCCAAAGGAACCUACAGUCGACAGCCAGGACUACGUGACCCUUCAGACUGCACAAACUGUCCCGAGGGCAAAUACUGCUACACAGAGAAUCCCCAUGAAGAGCCCAUUAUUGAACCAACAGGAAACUGUCCUGAUGGAUACUUCUGUCCUCCUGGUACCGGACAUCCAAACUCAUUUCCGUGCCAGUCUGGCUUCUUUAGGAAUGACUCGUAUGGACAUGGAGGAGAAGCUUGUGUGGAAUGUCCUCCUGGUCACUACUGUCCUACUCUGGCCACACACACUCCUACAGUCUGUCCACAGGGUUUCUACUGUACUGAGGGGAGCUCAGCCCCAGAGCCGUGUGAAGAGGGCACAUUUGGACCCCGGCAAGCCCUGAGUGGAGCAUCACAGUGUACCCCAUGUAGUGGGGGGAAAUAUUGCACCGGUUUGGGCAAAUCUGAGCCCACAGGGGACUGUGAAGGAGGAUUCUAUUGUAGACAGAGGUCUACGAGUCCAGUAAGAUUAUUCAACAAAAACUUUUCAUUUAUCCUUUAAAGGGAUAGUUCACCUAAAAAUUCUUAAAAUUCUUUCAUUAAUUACUCAUCCUCAUGUUGUUGCAAACCCGUAAGUCCUUUGUUCAUCUUCAGAACACAAAUGAAGAUAUUUUUGAUGAAAUCCGAGAGCUUUCUGACUAUGCAUAGACAGCAACACAACUAUCAUGUUCAAGGCCCAAAAAAGGUGGUAAGGACAUCAUUAAAAAAGUCCAUGUGAUUUGUUCACAAUUUCUUCUCUGCCGUG
ensembl:lncRNA